UCACACCUGAAGCACUAUUUUUACCUCAUUAUGGUUUUAUUUAUUGAAUUAAAUCAGUUAAUUCAAGUGAGUUGUUAUUAAUGAAAUGAUCUGUACUAGGAUCGAGAGAUUUCUGACAGAAUAUUUAUUACAUUUCUACUGAAAAAAAGAGCUGGGAGGAAACCAGACUGGACUGUAUAAAGAGAGGAGCAGAUCUGGUGAUCAUAAACAGUAGAGAGGAACAGGAGUUCAUCAGUAAAAAUUUCGCCGGUACUGAAGCUUGGAUUGGACUGACUGACACAGACACAGAGGGGACAUUUAAAUGGGCCACUGACCACUGAGUUCUGGUGGAACGGAGAACCAAAUAAUUAUGGACAAAAUGAAGACUGUGUUAUAACAGGCCAUGCAGGGGCUAAGUCUAACAUCUCGACCUGUGCUGAUUAUCACUGUAACUUCCCUGUAGUUGGGAUUUGUGAGAUAAAAAUAUUUAACUGAGCACACAAAGGUCAAUGACUAAAAUCGAAAUAUUACUUGUAAUUAUAAUAAUUCUCUCUUUUUUUAAACGUAUA